AAAACAUAAAUGGAAAGAAUUUAUUCAAAAUAAAUAAAUAAAAAGAAAAUAUAUAUUUAUAUUUUUUUAUAAGUAAAAACUUACCUAGGGAUAACUUACCGAUUUACCUUCGCUAAGGGCUCAUCUUUAUAGUCCGUUGAGCGGGACUCUUCUCUCAUUACUUCUUGCUUGAUGAUGGCACAUCCGUCUUAGGAGGAGUAGGCAGCUGCACCUGCUUGGGCCUCCACUUUAGUAGUAUCACCUUUGGAGGUGUGGAAGUUUGUUCAACCUUCUGCUUUGGUUUCCACACCUGCUUCAGUUGUGAAGGCUUGGGGACUUCGUCCCUCUUUUUAUUCUUUCUAGGAGUUAUUUUCCUUUUUUGCUACUUAUUAUUUUUCUUAGGAGCCGCCUUUUCUUUUUUCUCCGGCUUUUUCUUAGAUAUUUUUGUAUUUUUAAUAAGUUGAGGCUGGAUCUCAACCUGCCUGAUGCCUUGGGGGUUUGGCCCAUAGAGGAUGCGUAUCAUGAUGCACUCUUGUUGACGGCGUGGCCUAAACUCGAACUUCUGUUCUUGGCCAUUAAUGUUGAAGCGGAUUUCUCCAGCCCCAACAUCAAUCUGUGCUCCAGCCGUACUCAAGAAUGGUCUUCCUAGGAUUAGUGGUGUUUCUUUAGUGAGCUCCAUGUUGAGCACCACAAAAUCCACUAGAACAUAGUAUCCUCUGAUCUUGACAGGGAUGUCUUGAGCAAUCCCUGUCGGGUAUCGGACUGACGAGUCUGCCAACUAGAGUGUCAUGGUGGUUGGCUCCAAGUUGGUGAAGUUCAGCCUGUCAAAGACUGAUUUCGGCAUGACGCUCACACUCGCCCCCAAAUCACAUAGGGCGUGGUCAAAUUGCUGGGCCCCAAUUGAGCAGGAGAUUGUGGGGCACCUAGGAUCCUGCUUCUUCUCGGGCAGCUCAUUGAGUAUAGCUGCGCUACAUUCUUCUGUCAGCUUGACAACUUCAGUGGAUGGCAAUGGUCGCUUCCUGUUGAUG
rnacentral:lncRNA from 1 species